rnacentral:rRNA from 1 species
CUAUGCGCCUUGCCCAGCCCGCUCAGGUGUGCCAGCCGCCGCGGUAAUACGGAGGAUGCGAGCGUUAUCCGGAUUUAUGGGUUUAAAGGGUGCGUAGGUGGUUAAUUAAGUCAGCGGUGAAAGUUUGUGGCUCAACCAUAAAAUUGCCGUUGAAACUGGUUGACUUGAGUAUAUUUGAGGUGGGCGGAAUGCGUGGUGUAGCGGUGAAAUGCAUAGAUAUCACGCAGAACUCCGAUUGCGAAGGCAGCUUACUAAACUAUAACUGACACUGAAGCACGAAAGCGUGGGGAUCAAACAGG